AGGACGAACGCUGGCGGCGUGCUUAACACAUGCAAGUCGAACGGAAAGGCCCUGCUUUUGUGGGGUGCUCGAGUGGCGAACGGGUGAGUAACACGUGAGUAACCUGCCCUUGACUUUGGGAUAACUUCAGGAAACUGGGGCUAAUACCGGAUAGGAGCUCCUGCUGCAUGGUGGGGGUUGGAAAGUUUCGGCGGUUGGGGAUGGACUCGCGGCUUAUCAGCUUGUUGGUGGGGUAGUGGCUUACCAAGGCUUUGACGGGUAGCCGGCCUGAGAGGGUGACCGGCCGCAUUGGGACUGAGAUACGGCCCAGACUCCUACGGGAGGCAGCAGUGGGGAAUAUUGCACAAUGGGCGGAAGCCUGAUGCAGCAACGCCGCGUGCGGGAUGACGGCCUUCGGGUUGUAACCGCUUCGCCUGUGACGAAGCGUGAGUGACGGUAAUAGGUAAAGAAGCACCGGACUAACGUACGUGCCAGCAGGCCGC
rnacentral:rRNA from 1 species